rnacentral:rRNA from 1 species
UACGUAGGGUGCGAGCGUUAAUCGGAAUUACUGGGCGUAAAGCGUGCGCAGGCGGUGAUGUAAGCCAGGUGUGAAAUCCCCGGGCUUAACCUGGGAACUGCAUUUGUGACUGCAUCGCUGGAGUGCGGCAGAGGGGGAUGGAAUUCCGCGUGUAGCAGUGAAAUGCGUAGAUAUGCGGAGGAACACCGAUGGCGAAGGCAAUCCCCUGGGGUAACACUGACGCUCAUGCACGAAAGCGUGGGGAGCAAACAGG